rfam:Ictidomys tridecemlineatus contig091238, whole genome shotgun sequence.
CCAAAGGCUCUUUUAAGAGCCACGCAUGAUUUCCACAAAUGAGUUGU